GCCGGAAUAGCUCAGUCGGUAGAGCAGCGCAUUCGUAACGCGAAGGUCGUAGGUUCGAUUCCUAUUUCCGGCA
rnacentral:tRNA from 3 species